rnacentral:rRNA from 1 species
CGACCGCGUGGAGGAUGAAAUAUCUUGGUAUAGUAAACUCCUUUCGAUGGGAAGAUUAUGACGGUACCCAUAGAAGAAGCCCCGGCUAACUUCGUGC